CUGAAAGUCGGGCUGCCUGGACGCUGGAGAGCUGCGGCCCGCCCACCGGGUCACAUGGCUCGGAGCCGAGCAGAGGAUCAAAGGGGCUUUGUGGCCUCGGAACAAGGAGCCUCCCAGAGCUUGGGGCAGAGAGCCAGGAUGGUCUUCCGUUGAUCCUGCACAUAGUACCCCGGCCUGGCACUACCCCAACCCGGACAGAUAACAGGCAUGCACCUUGGUCUUCCGGCAGCCUCCUAUGUUUUGGUAGGGCCCCGCCCUCUCCCAAUGCCCUGAUCCCCAUAGGCUUCUGGGCAGCUGAGACAGCUCGACCAACUUGCUUAAGUGGGCUCUGCUGGCUGCAACCAAAGGAGGGAGAAGCAAGAGAGGAAGCAAGAACCUAGGGCUGGGCUGGGGUUAGCUCACCCUGACUCUGUGCUCUGGAGCCUCAGGGACUCGGGCUGUGUUCUGGCGCCUGCUUCUUCCCACUGUUCCUGAUUCUCCUCCGUGGGGGCUGGGCAGUGAGUCAGUAGUCUCCUCCUCCCACUCCCUGCAGGCCCUGUGAUGUUCUGGGACCCUGAGAGUGAUGAACCAGGGGGUCCAAAGGAUAGGAGUUGAUACUUCUGGGGCUGGGCCUGGAUGCUGGGAUCUGCCAGACCCUAUAACCUCUGACCUGGAAUGACUCACUCCCAGGCUCACUGUGGCCCCAGGCCAGCUCCCACACUGGGAGUGCUGGGGGUGGGAUUCCAGGUUGCUUAGAGCAGGAGCAAUUAGUUCAAGGGAGAGGAGCCUUUAUAACUCUGGAGGGGCCUCAGGAGCCAGUGACAGAUUUCCCCCAUGUGAUUUCCAUCCCUCAGCCUGUAGAAACAAUUGCCCCAAAGCCUUCCCCAGUGUGUGCACACCCAUAGUCUACCCCCAGCCUGGCUCUGCCCUACCAGCCGAACUCAGGAGCCCCAGGCCUGUGGUCCCUCAUGCAACAUCCUUGGACUCUGCCUUCCCUGCCCGAGUCGAUACACCAACUCCAGUCUCAGCUAAAGCAGCAAGUCCAUUCAAACCAGGAAGCGCUCCCCCUCCAACCCUCCCUUAUCACCAAGCCGUGGCAGUUCAGUAGACUCCUAUCAACCCAUGUCACCGCUGACCGUCAACUGCCCUACUGGCUGGCUCUCCUUUCUAGGUGCCCCCCUCUCUUCCGAAACUUUAUGCUUUGACACCCCAUAAUCAGCCCCCCAGAUCUCUGGAGGCUCCUGUGCACAGCUCCAGAGAGCAUUCCAGAUUGCCAGCCUGGGAGGCGGCACUCUACCCUGUACACAGUGACUUUGUACAGCUGUGAGGCUCAUUCAGCACACGGGGUGCGGGGUGUGUCCUCCAGGGCAUGAAGAGGGCAGGCGCUUUCUGGGGUUUCUUCCCCAAACAGGACAUCCUAUCCGUUCUCAAGGGGGUGGGUUCUUGUCUCUCCAAGUCAAGGAAGUAUCCUGAGCGCCACUCAGGUGCCAUCAGACCCAUCUGGCAAGUUACAGAUGGGACCUUAAACUCCUGCCACCACAGGGGGAAACAGGAGGGACCGCGUGGCCCGCUUUCAUUGAUCUCACGGAGCCAAAAUAUUAUCAGUUCAAGAUGUCACCGACGUGAAGAUGGCGGAGAUGUUUCACAUACUUCUGUUCUGUGCUAAGACACUGGAAUCCAGCGAUUCCUCUGAUUCCUCUGGCACCACACUGCCCAGCCAGCCCCUUGCUGGGGCUUCACAGUCCUGCAUGCUGGCUAGGAGGGUGCUGUACCCAGUACCCCAUUGCUCUUCUCAGUGUAGAACCACUGACUCAGAAUCUUCUCGAAGACCCUGCUCCCUUCUGGUACCAGAUCUACAAGCCACAUGUAGGGGUGGAGAGGACCCAGCUCUCCUGAAACACACACCUCCUGUUGAGGGACUGGAGGGACUGUGGUUAAAAGCACAUAUAGGGGGACUGGAGAGAUGGCUCAGCGGUUAAGAGCGCUGUGCUUGCUCUUCCAGAGGUCCUGAGUUCAAAUCCCAACAACUGCAUGGUGGCUCACAGUGGGAUCUGAUGUCCACUUCUGGUGUGUCUGAAGACAGCCACAGUGUACUCAUAAACAUAAAAUAAAUAAAUCUUUUAUUUAAAAAGAAAAAGUACUGGAGAGAUGGCUCAGUGGUUAAGAGCACUGCCUGCUCUUCCAGAGGUCCUGAGUUCAAAUCCCAGCAACCACAUGGUAGCUCACAACCAUCUGUAAUGAGAUCUGAUGCCCUCUUCUGGUUUAUCUGAAGACAGCUACAGUGUACUUAUAUAUAAUAAAUAAAUAAGUCUUUAAAAAAAAAAAAAAAAAGCACACCUAGCUCCUCCAGAGGAAGGACCUGAGCUGGGUUCCCAGCACCCAUGUCAGACAGCUCAAAACUGCUUGCAAUUCUAGCUCCGAGGGGGUCAUGUGCACUCACAUGCAUGGACAUCUGCACACAUAGACACUUAAAAAAAUCAACCAAUCAAAUGUUUUAAAAGGUAUUGAAGAGCCAAGUAUAGUAGAGGGUAGGAGGACCAGGAGUUCAGGGCCAGCCUCGAGUUCAAGUCAACCUGAACUACGUGAGACCUUGUCCUUUCAGACAGGGUUUCUCUGUGUAGCCCUGGCUGUCCUGGAACUCACUGCGUAGACCAGGUUGGCCUUGAACUCACAGAGAUCUGCCUGCCUCUGCCUCCCCAGUGCCGGGAUUAAAAGUGUGCACCGCCACCGCCUCACCUUGUCCUUUUUAAAAAUAGAACGUUUGUUUUUAUUUUAUGUGCUUGGAUGUUUUGCCAUUGUGGGUAUCCACUACGAGGGUGCAAUGCCUUAGAAGGCCAGAAGAAAGGGUUGGAACCCCCUGGGACUGGAAAUAGAUGGCUGUGAGCGGCCACGUGAUGUGGGGUAACCUCAGUUCUCUGGAAGAGCGAGCGGUAAGUGCCCUUGACUGCGGAGCCAUCUCUCCAGCCUGAGACCUGGUCUUUUUUAAAGGUGGGGAAGUAGUUAGUUGGUAGAGCGCGUGUCUGGCAUGCACAAGCCUUGGUUCAAACGCUGCAUAUUCAGGACAUGAUGGCACACUCCUGUAAUCCCAAAACAGCGUGUGGAGGAGGAGUUCAGGGUCAUCCUUGGCUACAUAGUGAGUUGGAGGACAGCCUGGGCUAUGUGGAACAGUAUUCAAAAAAAAAACAAAAAAAAACAAAAAAAAAAAAAAAAAAAAACAUAGAUCUAGAGCCAUGUCCCGAAGUUCACUGUCAGGGAGAGGGGAAAUUGUCUUAAGGAAUCAACUCGAUAAAUACCUGGCCACACACUAUGUGUGCCAAAGACACCAUCAGCUCUCUCCUGGGUGUCCCUUCACAUCCAUACUAGUUUGAAGGGACAUGGGAUGAUGAGCCCAACACAGAGGGAGCCAGCUGCUGGCCUGACUCGUUGUGUAUUGCCAGAUACCCAUGGCGGUGGGGCUCAGAAUUGUUUUUGAGUAGAGGCCCCUGAAGCUUGGACAGGAUGUAGACUUGGGAAGGAAGCAAACCAGGGUCCCAUCAACUGCCCAGAAAGCAGAGACCCCUAGAGAAGAGCAAGAGAGGAGGAGGUGACAGCCACCCAGGCUACUUCAACUCCUGCCCUUCCGGUGCCUGGGUCUCCAUCCACACAUUGGCUUCCGCCCCAUGUAUAUACUUCCAACAGCCAACUUGUCAAGCUGUGUUUAUUUAUCCUAAAGUCACAUAGGAGUACACUUUAAAAAUAACUCACAGAGAGAGAGAGAGAGAGAGAGAGAGAGAGAGAGAGAGAGAGAGGGGCGCAGACUACUACUGGCUACUAAGGGUGAGGAGCUGACAUGGGCUCCUUAGGAUGUGGGGUUCCCACUCUGUGGUGAUAAAAAGACCCUGCAGUCAGGGCAGAACCCAGACCACUUCUAUUAUGACCAGGAGUGGGGUGUGGUGGGGGGAACUGCCUUACACUCCGCGUGCAUUGGAAGCCCAGGAUAGCCCAGACUCCAGGUCCUCCCACCUCAGCCUCUUCGGUACCACAAUGACAGACAUAUUCUGCUCCCAGCUAGAAAAGCAUAUGCUUAAAGGCAAAAGAAUCGGAUGUGGGGCUAAGGAUACAGCUGAGGUGGUAGGAUGCUCUCAGCUAGCAUGCCUGAAGCCCUAGGUUCAACCUUCCCAGCUCCACACAGCCCAGCUGUGGUGGCAAAUCCCUGUAAUCUGAACACUCUGGAGGGAGAGGCAGGAGGAUCAGAGUUCAAGGCCAGCCUGGGACAGAAGCCUGGCCAAUACAGGAAGCCAUCUCUUGGAAAGCGAUUUUUUAAGGAAGUAGAUGCAUUUUUAAUUUCCUUGACCCAGUUUAUCAUAGCAUUUUAUGCCUUGGGAGUACCAUGUCUCAAGACGCACCGGGCUGACCAAUGUCCUGUUCUCGUCCUGAAGGACUUUACAUGGCAAGGCAACUUUUGGUAUGAACAAAGACAGUGAUACAGAGUGUGACCCAGAUGGGCCGGCCACAACCGCAGGUGUCCCGGGCCACAGAGAGAGGGAGGAGGUCUGAUUAGCAUAUGUGGUAACCACAGCCGUGACAGAGGCAGAGCCCACCAGAGCAAGAAGAGGCCAGGGACAGAUCUCUGGAGCCUCCUGCAGGAACCCAUCUGCCCACGUUCUGGCUUUAGUCCUGUGGACCUGUUUAGAUUUCAGACCUUCGUAACCCUAACACAAUAAAUGUCUGUUGUUACAAGCUACACGGUUUGCACAAACUCACUUGAGCAGCCACAGGAAGUUAAUGUGGCCCACGGGGAAAAGGUUAGCCAGCAGGGCAGGUCCACUCUCAAGCCAUCUUCUGGGUCCUCAGAGGGAUCCUGGGAUCUUACUCCCAAGCCCGGUUCACAUCCAACAAGCCCUACCCCAAAGCUGAUGAAGCCCCUCCCCCUUUGCAGAUACCUGGCCAAGAUGUGACAGCUAAAAAGCCCACUUCCCACCGAGCUCCCAGCUGAGUCCUUGCACAGGCUCCCAGGCUCCCAGGCUCCCGGAGCAGCGCACACAAGGUCCUUCUUGAUGAUACCAGGUGUCUCCACUCUCCUGAAAGCAAUGUUGAGCCCUAAUACAGACCGAUUUCAGAGGGUGACACCUGCCAGGAAGCUACAGGACACCCACGCUCAACUCUGCAUGCAGCGCCAAGCCAGCAGGAAAAGGAGAUAGAUGUAUGCAUGUGUGAUCAUGGUCCACGUGCACAGACAGAAACACACACGCGCACGCGCGUACACACACACACACACACGCGCGCGCGCGCGCGCGCGCACACACACACACACACACACACACACACACACACACACAUCCUGUUCUCUUCUGGUAGGCACUCUGGCUUGCACAAAGCUCACCUUCCUGCCCACUGUCUUCCAAUCCACCCAGGCAACAGCUCAGGAGAACAGCAGAUGCUUCCAACUGAAUGCCAAGAAAAAACGCCACCCCUCCCCCGUCCGCCCCUCUGAGGGUCUGGCGCUGGAGAACUGAGGCAGGGCCGGUACUUGCAAUGUGCUGCUGUGUGUCCUGCGGGUCCUACACCACCAGGAACACAGGCUACAUGUCCCUGAGGUGGGGAGACACUGCCAAAUGGCCUUGAGGGCCAGAAGCAGGCUCCGGGGAGGAAGAGGCCCCUACAAAGCACCAUCUUGUCACCGCAGACAGUGGCUUGCAAUGGGCUCUGGGUGUUCAGGUGCCUCUCUGGCUCCCGUCUAAGUCCGGGUGAACUGAUGCCAGUCCAAUCUCCAGAGCAGAGUCUCAGGCUCUCUGACCCCUCUGUCUCCCCCUUCUCAAUAGCCCAGCCUCUCGGCCCACUCAUGUUCCCCUCUUGCCAGCACCUACUCGCUUCUUGGCUGGCCAUCUGGCCUCUGCCUACCACACAUCACCAGGGCUCUGGGAGGAUUCCCCUUGGCCCAUCUCCAGUCACACCCAGCCUGAAGCAGCUCUUCCCAGACCCAUCCUGGGAUCUCUUUCCUUUUCCCUUCUCAUCUUGGCUUCCUGGAGUGACCCCCCCACCCCGCUCCCCGCUUCCCUCCCCCCCACCCCCCCACCCCUCCACCCCUCCCUGCCUGCUCCCUGGUUCUGGUUCCAACCCCUUCUCAGCUUUGAUCCUUCUCUCCAGUUGGUUCUCUCAAGCCACACCCCUCCUUCCUCUACAGGCCAGGUUCUUCCUGGAGAACCCACGUGCCUGAGAUACCAGAUUCUAUUGCCCAGGCCCUGCUCCCCCCACCUCCCAGCCCCAGGACCCUGCCUGCACCCCUCACUCAGUCCUGGGAACUUCCCCUUCAGAUUCCAGGGCCCUUUCCCCCUAGCCCUAAUGAUUUGAUUUUGCAAAUUUGCAGCGGCCCCUUCCUGCCAUACCCCACGCAGCUGGUGGCUAUAGAUCCAUUCCUUGAUUCCUCGCUGAUGUGAUGGCUACUUCCUGUUUCCCUCCUCCCCCAACCCUGCCCCCGCACAACUUCCAAUAUUACAGCGGAACUCCUCUUUGCAUUCGAGUACCCCUGUACCCUGGCACAUCCAACCUCAGCCAGCACUGUUUUCUUUUUCCUUUUUCUUUUUUUCAAAUAUUUACGUAUUUUAUGUAUAUGAAACCUCUUCAGACACACCAGAAGAGGGCAUCAGAUCCCAUUACAGAUGGUUGUGAGCCACCAUGUGGUUGCUGGGAAUUGAACUCUGGACCUCUGGAAGAGCAGGCAGUGUUCUUAACCGCUGAGCCAGCUCUCCAGCCCCAGCACUGUUUUUUAAGAACUCCAUUCAUCAGUUGGCCUCCAUGGUCUCCCAGACAUCACCACCUCUGCCACAGGCCACAGGCCUCCACCGCACCCUGGGUCUUUCUGUGGCCUGGAGGACUGGCCACUAACUCAACAAGCCCUGCCCCCUCCUGGUUUCCUUGGUAACAGGUUUCAGAGCAAGUCUGUGGCCCUAGGCUGCAGGGCAGGAUGGGCCCAUUUCCUCCUUUCUGAGAAUCCCCACCCUUACCCCUGUCAGAGAGCAGCACCCAAAUGCUGACCUUUUUCCUUCUCGAAAAGCUAGCAUUAAGUAGGGCAUGGUGCUGCACAUCUGUGAUCCCAGCUGAGGCAGAGGGAUUGAGUUUUGAUACCAGCCUGAACUACACAGCAAGACCUUGUCUCAGACACUUGUGACACCCAUGUGUCUUCUGUGCCACUGUCUGCUAUCUUAACUUGAGCUGUGACCCUGGAGCCUGCAGCCCACUGUCUUACCUCAGUGUGGUCACCACCCUACCCUGUAGAUCGGUUCUAGCACGCUGCCACCCAGGCUUCGGGCCCUUCACCUCACCAGGACCAAAUGCAGCCAAAACCCCACCAGGCCCACAGAUUUCCACCUGGGUGUCCAGCCCGGUGGACUCCUCGGUGUAGAGAGAAGACUGGGACAUUGGACACACCAGGCAGCCCGGCAGGGCAGUGCCUCGACUUCCCACUCUGCAGCCAGGACAGAACCUACACACCUGAGGUACUCAUGUGCUGGAAGGCAAACUCUACUUGGUUUGAUGUUUCCAAAGGCACCCCAGACCGGGGCGAUGGGGGAGGGGAGCAGAAAGGGAGGGCUGUUCUAAAAAUGGGCUCAAUAAAGUCCAAGUCUCACUUUAAACAAUACAGCACUGCCUAUGUUAAUACCUACAGGGGAUGGGACCUCCACCUACAGGGGGCAGGACCCCUGUCAUCCAGGAGGCUUCCUGGGACUGAGAACUGCUGGCUUAGGACCAAAUGUGGAGACACACACACACACACACACACACACACACACACACACACACUUCUAAGAGCUGUGCUAAGCUCGGCUGAGAGUUAUCAUUCAGAGCUGGGACACUUGCCACCUCCCCCUUGGGUAACUUCUGGGGAAAAUGCUCUUGGCAUGGGCUUCCGAUCCUGUUUAUGAGUUACCAAGGAGUGUGAGAAUCCUAGCGUGCGAAUCUGGAAGGUGGGGUUUCUCAUCUGCUAAGGAGGAAGGGGCAUAUUAGGGGAGAGUGGCAAGAUGCCCUGGGCAGCCUGGCUUAGUGGAGGAUCCAUUAGAAGUAGCAGGCUCCUGGGCUGAGGAGGAGGGUGGAGGGCGUGGUCAUAGGCAGCUAGAAAGAAGGGUGUGGCAGUCAGCCUGCACAGACCAAGGCUCUCUGUUACAAGACAGGAGUAGGAAGAAACUUUUGCCCGCCAGCUACGUGUGUCUGGGCUUGAAACGGUGAUGUCACCUGAGAAAGUGUUAACAUUGUCCCCACUGUGAAUUUCAACCCUCGGUAUGAAGGCUGGAGACCUGGGUGCCUCAUAGACACAAGCCCUAACACAAAAGUCAAGAUGACAGGCUGGCAAGGUGGUUCGGCGGGGGUGGGGGUGUGGGGGAUGGGGGUGGUGGUGGUGGUGGUGGUGGUGGUGGUGGUGGGUGGGUAAGAGCCCUUGUUACAAAAACAUGAGAACCUGAGUUUGAAUUCUGACACCGGCAUAAAAGUCACAUGGAUGCCUAUAACGCCAGCGCCCCGGGAGGCAGAGGUGGGAAGAUCAUGGGGCUCCCUGGCUGCCAGCCUUGCUCCAGGCUCAGUGAGAGACCCUUCCUCAAGGGUAGAGAGUGACAGAGCACCCUCCUCUGGCCUCCACACGAGCACACAGGCACACACGUAAUUGUACCAUGCACAGCUGAUAAGAGUCAAGACGGUACAAGACGGUGUUGUGAGGCCCCUGACCAGGAUCUGUAACACUGAAGAAUGACAAGAGUUCCCAAAUCCAGACCUCACAGGCAAGGGGCUUGAUGGGGCAAAGGCUCUUCAAAGGGACAGGGAAGACCCUCCAGGGUAUCAGGGAGGAAGAAGGGCAAGCAAGAGGCUGGAGAUAUGACAGUGGCAUAUGUGAUGUCAGAGUGCCCCUUGGCAUGUUCAGUCCAGGACAGGAAGAUCACAGAGGCUGGGCAGCAGGGAGCUGCUCCAUAUCAAUCCGUCCCCACUCGACUCAGAGAAACAUGAUCUCACAGCUACAGGCUAAAACCUGGUUCUGCAAACUCCCAGAGAAGGGAGGAAUGGAGCUUGGGCUCCUCCUGCUACAGGCCCAGCAUCUCCAGCCACAGGAGCCAGCACAAUUCCUCAGAGAGAGAGAGACUGGGAGUGUGGGGGGUGAGGAGGGGGUACGGACAACGACACACAGCAAGCUCGGGUCUGCUCACACUGACUGACAUCCUGAGGGCUUCGUGCUGCUGAGGAGAAGUGCACUUCAGAUGAGGAGCUGGAAAUCAGAGCUGUGACCUGAUCACGACCCUGGACAUACGACUGGAAAGGACACACAAGUCAGGAAGGGAACAGGUGUGCCUUUCUGCCUGUGAAAAGGAGAACUAGAAGUUUUGUUUCCAGUUGCUUUCCCACCAGAGGUGGGAGGGGAAACUGCCUUCCAGCCUGAGCUGUUAGUAUCUAGAAGCAUCUGGAAAGUUCCAGAGCGGCAGCCACGCCAGAGGAUUCCUCCGGGCUUUCUGGAAUACCAUCACCUUCCUGGCUGUGCGUUUCCAGUUACCACUUGGUGACUAAUGGCUGAAGAGACACCAGCUUGUCAUCUCACCGAGCCAGAGGUCAGACGGUGAACUAGGUCAGGGUUUCCACAGGCAUGGCCGCAGGUCCCUAACUGGAGGUUCCGGGUUGAAUCUGUGGUCCGGCAUUUCCUAUACUUCCUGGUUCUUGGUGCUUCCUUUUCUUUUGGCCUGGCCUUUCUCACACUGCAAAGCUGGGACACCUCCCCAAGCCCAUUCUGAAGGACUCUUGAGUGGCACGGGGCCCCUGUGGAUCUCUCCUUAGGACUGACUGGCUUCUUGAUAACGGCAACUCCAUCAGCAACCCCCAUGGAGUAUGGUUUAGUCUCUCUCCGGCUCUAUAGCAAGGCCAUGAGUGACUCUGGUUCCUGCAGACACGUCAGAGUUGGACCACAGACCUGCCUGGCUGCCUGGGCUCUAACCCCUGUCAUCUCUAAGAUGAGGUGUGGUGUCUCACACCCUCAUUGCUGCCAUGUGGGGCGUGUGCACGGCCUCUGAAGCCAGCCCCAGAUCUGCGACCAUCUAUCUGUCCCUUUGUCUCAGGGUGCCUCUCAAACCUCACCGUCUCUCUUGGUCACCUGGAGAAGCCCCCAUAUGCAGGGUUACCCCAUGAACACCUGAGCACCACACUAGUGGGCAGUUACAGCGCCACACUCCAUACGGCGAGUGAAUGCAGUGGGCUCCUCAGUCAGGAGGUCCUGGGAUGGGAUGGGCAGUAUAAAAAGCCACAUAGUUGAGGAGACAUUGGAAGGAGAGGGAGCCCUCCCUCUGGGGUCUGAUGUCUCCAGCCCAAAAUUUCUGCGCAAUUAGCACCCCUGCACUGACGGUUUUAACCAGGAAACCGCAUUCCUUUUAUAGAGAGAUAUUUUUGAAUAAGAAUUUGAAAUUAGCAAGUAAACACCCUCUGAGUAUGGCUAGACUCUGUCCCCAGAAGUGAACCCCAAAUUUCUGGGAAUCUCACAAACGAGACUACAAACUUCAAUUACAACAAAAACUAAAUUAACUCGUGAGUACUGGGCUGGAACCCAGGGUUUUUGUUUCAACAAUUAUAACCCUGUGAAACCUCACUCUGACCCCACUCCGGUUCUCAGUAGUCUUCCUCAGAAAAACCAGACAAAUUGCUCUGGGAAAGGCACCUAAGCAGGGUCGUAAGUCGCCCACACCCACACUUGUUGGCUCCAGUGUUCAAACCUGGGGUCUUAGUAAACACCUGAAAUCCUUUCUGUAGUCAAGCCAGGUGUGGUAAUGCCGGUAAGGGUAGGGGCAGGCAGAUCUCUACAUAGUGAGUUCCAGGACAGCCAGAACUCCAUCAUGAGACCCUGGCUAAAAGAAAAAAGAGUCAGCAUUAGUCAGCAUCCAGCACAAGCUGGCUGCUCCCAAUGUGACCUCUGACCUGGGGCAUGGCCAUAGAAGAAGCUUUCAUUUUCAGGGGCCUGGCUGCCCCACAGGCAGGAUGUGCAAGUCCACAGGUGUGCAGGAGGAUAUGCCUAGGGGACAGCGAGGCCCUCUAGGACAGUGAGGUGGCUCAGUGGGUAUAGUGCUUGUGACGGCGGCCUGCUGACCUGAGUUCAACUCCUGGAACCUACAUGAAGGUGGACAGAGAGAAGUGGCUCUACGAGACUGUCCUCUGACCUCCAUGUGUGUGCCACAACACACACACACACACACACACACACACACACACACACACACACACACACAAUAAUAUAAUAAUAAGUAAAUACAAUAUUAUUUAAUUAAUUUAUUUUUAUUUUAUUGGUGCAUUGGUGUUUGAGGGUGUCAGAAUCCCCUGGGAAUGGAAUUGCAGAUAGUUUCGAGCUGCCGUGUGGUUGCUGGGAAUUGAACUCAGGACCUCUGGAAGAGCAGCCCGUGCUCUUAACCGCUGAGCCAUCUCUCCAGCCCUGAAUAAAAUAGCUUUAAAGAAGCCCUCCAUGCUGGAGAUGGCACAGCACAGUAGUGGCUGCUUUGGCUGAGGACCCGACUUUGGUUCCCAGCACCCACGUGGUGGCUCACAGUUCCAGGGGGUCUGAUGCCCUCUCUUGGUCCCCGUGAGCAUUGGACAUGCACGUGAUGCCUAAUAUGUGUGGGAUUUUAAACAAAAUAUAUCUUUUUAAAAAAAAAAACCCACAAACAUUCUCCACUCUGGAUGUGUGAGCCUCGCCAGGCUCUACUGGGCUUUCAGGGGCUCUCCUGGCAUGGUACCUGGCCUGCUUGCCGGGUGACUGCUGACCCAUGGAGGUCCCUCAUUAGAGUCAUUGGGAAGCCCCACCCCUCAUCCCUCAAAGGCAGAAGGCCUCGGGUCCUAUCUAAGGGAGCCCAGGAGAACGAAUGUCAGCUUCCUGUGUGAGAGCCUCUCCCAGCCCUGUUGGCUCACCCCCGCAACCCGCACCACCACCACAGCGGUCUGGAUGGCGCAGUGCUGUGCUCAGGGCUACCACAGAGGUCUCACUUCUCCCAGUCUCUGGCCUUUUGGGGUCGGCGGCUGAGGUGUGGCCAAGGAGCUCUGAACUCCAUCGGGAGCCAUGUACAGGAGUAAAGGGAUCAAGGCUAGGCUGUGUGAUCUCUGGAAGGCUGCUUUGCCACUGUGGGUCUGCUUCCUACGGGUGGUUUUAGACAGCCUAUGUGUGUGCGCCUGAGUCUCACCCGGGGUGCUUUAGCCCUGUAUCCUAUAUUUAAUAGCACAAACAAGGCUUCUAGAACCUCCACCCCCACUUCCUCUGGCCUCUCUCUCUCUCUCCUCACAGUGCCUUGCUGUGUAACUCUGACAGGCCCCGGGACCCAGCUAUGUAAUCCAGGCCUCCCAAAAUUGCAGGUGAAAUUGCAAGUGUAGUCACGCCAUGAAGCCAGAGACUCUCUUCAGCUCUGCCCCACACAGUGGGCCCCGCCUUCUCCCGAGUUUAGCCCCAAUGCAGCUUUCAGUUAGAGGAACUGAUGCUUGCAGCCCUCGGCCUAGCCUAGCCUCCACCCAAGAGGCCACUGUAGCUUAACAGGCUGUAGGUGGCAGGGGCCAAAGAGGUCAGGCCACACCCCUUCAGGGAAGAGGCUCCAUCAGUGGAGACAGCUGCUUUAAGUGCAGGAAAAGGGAAGAGGGGGAGUGGAGGACCCUCCCUCUCUUCUCCAGGAGGCCCCCCCACCCCACCUCAGGGAAUUCAUUCUUCUGCCAAACCCCAGUAAUGAAUCCCACAUGGCUGGGUCCCCCCCUCCGCCCUCUGACUGAGCUCCGAACAGCUGGCCCACAGAAGGUGCUGGAGUUGAACGUGGAGAGGAGACUGCAGAGUCCUACAUCCCACCCACCCCUUCCUCUGCAGAUAAGGCCUCACUGUUCCGGCCCUGGCCCUGGGAAAGCUCUGUGUGUGUGUGUGUGUGUGUGUGUGUGUGUGUGUGUGUGUGUGUGUGUGUGUGUGUGUGUGUGUGUGUGUGUUAACCCUUUUGUGUAAGGCACAUCCUCAAGGCUUGCAAUCAUCAAUAAUACAC